rnacentral:rRNA from 1 species
CCUACGGGAGGCAGCAGUGGGGAAUUUUGGACAAUGGGCGAAAGCCUGAUCCAGCAAUGCCGCGUGAGUGAAGAAGGCCUUCGGGUUGUAAAGCUCUUUUGUCAGGGAAGAAACGGUGAAAGCUAAUAUCUUUUGCUAAUGACGGUACCUGAAGAAUAAGCACCGGCUAACUACGUGCCAGCAGCCGCGGUAAUACGUAGGGUGCAAGCGUUAAUCGGAAUUACUGGGCGUAAAGCGUGCGCAGGCGGUUUUGUAAGUCUGAUGUGAAAUCCCCGGGCUCAACCUGGGAAUUGCAUUGGAGACUGCAAGGCUAGAAUCUGGCAGAGGGGGGUAGAAUUCCACGUGUAGCAGUGAAAUGCGUAGAUAUGUGGAGGAACACCGAUGGCGAAGGCAGCCCCCUGGGUCAAGAUUGACGCUCAUGCACGAAAGCGUGGGGAGCAAACAGGAUUAGAUACCCUGGUAGUCCACGCCCUAAACGAUGUCUACUAGUUGUCGGGUCUUAAUUGACUUGGUAACGCAGCUAACGCGUGAAGUAGACCGCCUGGGGAGUACGGUCGCAAGNUUAAAACUCAAAAUGAAAUUGACGG